rnacentral:lncRNA from 1 species
GUAAAAGUAGGACGUCAACCUUAUAUGUUAACACAAGGGGUUGAAGUCUAGAAUAGGGAAGAAAACGGGCUCUACUUAUAAUUUUUUCCAACUCCAUGUAUUUAUUGAUAGUGGUUGGCUAUGAGAUCUUAUGGAACAACGUUCGUAGCUUGAUUCUUGGCAGCUUUUGGAGACCUUUUUUAAAGCAUGUAUUCCUUUCCCUGACUCUGUUGUGCUGUUGCAGUUUCACGAGUGCCCUGAAAGAGCAAUUAAAAAUAUAGUGAAGGAAGCAUUUCGGCUUCUUCGACCUGGAGGCACUUUUGCUGUGACUGAUAACUCGGUAAAUAGCUUUAGAAUAUUGCAAAUAGUGUUCAUCUUUUAUAUAAUGUAAUAAUAUAUCAUACCAGACCAUUUCUUACAUUACUUUCCUUUUGUUCUCUUUUGCAGCCAAAAUCAAAGAUUCUUCAGGUAUGUUUUGUUUGUUGCUUUGUCAAGUUUUCUUUUGGCUUUUCUUCAUCAUGUGAUCAAGCUUUCCAUUAUCACUCAUGAUGAAAACAUCUGGAUCUCGCUUUUCUAUAUUCUUAGACCAAAAGGGAACAAUGGUCGGAAGAUGGUGACAUUUUGGAAACAUUGCGUAAACCUGAAAAUAUUUAAUCAUGGGAGCAUCAGCAACCUUUUAUGAAUGGAAUAUGAAAUCCUUACAGUUCUAGACUAACUGAGUUAGCGUCCUUAAUGUUCACGUAUUACAGGAACUAUCACCGGUGUUAUUUACAUUGAUGAAGAGCACUGAACCUUUUCUGGACGAAUACUACCUUACGGAUCUUGAAGGUAGCAUGCGAGAAAUUGGUUUUGUCAACGUGCAGACUAUUAUGACAGAUCCAAGACACAGAACUGUAACUGCCACUGUGCCUUACUGAUAUGUGUCAUCCUCUUGAGUGUGCUCAUGGAGAUCAUGAAACCAUUAUAGGAACAAGAAAUUUCUUGAAUUCAUGCCCUAAUAUUUUAUGUACACACUUGCAUAUUGCAAGUAUAGAUUGACGAGAAAAUGUUAAUUUUGUAACGAGGCAGAAAUGCUGGUGGAGAAUAGUUCGAUGCAAUGUCAGUUUCUGAUGAAAGAAAGUUUUCAUAUUAUACAAAGUUCAA